ensembl:lncRNA
UAACGCUACCUUUUUUUAGGAGAGCACAGGACGAUCACGUUGGAUGGCAAAAUGAGAGGUCACCAAGGUAAAUUGGAUUUUAUCCUUCCUACUGUUAACAUUCCUGUUCAACAGUUUCAUAUUUAAUUGGUCAUCCUCAUACAGGAAGUCAUUCUGGAGCAGAUUUUCAAGGUAACAUUUUUUAUCCUUCUGUUUCAUGACUCUAUAUGAAAUACAUGAUAUUAACUGAAACUGUCAAACAAUAUAAAUGAAAUGUUUAUGAUCUUUGCAGACACCAGGGCAACACUGCGAACAUCAGCGUUGGCUAUUUAAGCAACACCAACGCUGUAAUCUGUGACCCUCAUGUUGACAAACCACGCUUUCCAUCCCCUAAGGAUCACCGGAGGCGGCCUCACCCUUAACAGGCUUGGUUAGUAUAGUGCUGUUGUGUGGUGAGUGGUAAACCCCAAAUCAUGUAGAUAAAAGGCUUUUGUUAUAAAUUGUAGAAAGUUGCUCCACUAACUAUUAACCCUCUGAACCCCAAGCUGCUUCUUUAUUGUGCUCCUGUCACAUUUUUACUCAUAACAGUAUAAAGCCCUGGAUCUCAAAAAUCACAAAAAAAGACAAAUUAAAGCUUCUUAAGUUCUUCAUUUAUUAAAAAAAAAAAAAAAAAAAAAAAAAGUAAUUCACUUUUUCUCAAGUGUCAAUCAGGUGUUACCAAUAUUAGAAAAAAAAACACAGCCUGCAGUACGGCUGAAAAAUCUCUGGUUCAAGUACUUUAUUUUUUACUUUUCUUUGAAUUUGACAUGUAGAAUAAAGUGAUUCUGAAGAAAUUAACCUUAGAUUUGCUUAAUUUUUCUCAUGUAACCACAAGUCACACAUGAUGAGUUCACAGACCAUUGGAAAGUCUAAACUAUGACAGUUCUUUGUGUCUUUACAGUUUCUGUCACAGACAUAUGGUGUCAUUUUGACAGCAUUUUAUGAGAUUAGAAAAACAGGCAAUGAUUCAAUCAAAUUUUUAAAAAAUCUUUCACCUCUCUGUAAAAAAAAAUGUUAUCUGCCGUUAUUUAUUACAUUUAGUGACUUUUCUGACCCAAAUCCACACUGUGGUCACAUGAUUUGUCUUUUUGAUCAUUUUAUUUUGUGUACAAAGCUAGCAUGCUGCACAGAGCAAUUUGUGACUGUAACUGACUAUUUUCCUUAAAUUUGUUGCAGGAUUUCCAAAUGCAGUUCUUCAGGGAUGUCUCGGGAAACACAACAUGCUUCUAUGAGUAUGUUUCUGUCAUUUUAUAUUCAGUGCAUGUGGGGUGGAGAGAUGGUGCAUUUAAACUUCAUUUAGCUUCAUUUCAAUCAGGAAAGACUCAAAAGAAGGAAAGGCUUCGUGAUGUAUUGUACGCGGUGUGGACAGUGAGGUAAAGAUAUGAGGAGUCCUUAGUAACUAGACCUCAUGUUAAGGGCUUAGUGAUGCCAUGAGCUGUACAGGUUUAACAAAGGGAGGAAGGGCCUCUGUCAGCUUAUGUGAUGUGUUACGAGCAGGAAGAGAGAGAGAGAAUGUAAAUAGAUUGCAAUGGCUGAGAUUUCUGCCCUGAUUCAGCUUCAGCAAAGCUUCAUUUAAACAUUUACUUCAUGCUUUGAAGCAUGCAAAAUGCCAAUAAUGUGCUGCCAUGAUACUGAAUUUGCAUCAAAUAUAUGAUAAUAAACAUGAUUUUUU